rnacentral:rRNA from 1 species
GAUGAACGCUGGCGGCGUGCUUAACACAUGCAAGUCGAACGGUGAAGGCGGAGCUUGCUCUGCUGGAUCAGUGGCGAACGGGUGAGUAACACGUGAGCAAUCUGCCCCUGACUCUGGGAUAAGCGCUGGAAACGGCGUCUAAUACUGGAUACGAUCUGCGAAGGCAUCUUCAGCAGCUGGAAAGAACUUCGGUCAGGGAUGAGCUCGCGGCCUAUCAGCUUGUUGGUGAGGUAACGGCUCACCAAGGCGUCGACGGGUAGCCGGCCUGAGAGGGUGAACGGCCACACUGGGACUGAGACACGGACCAGACUCCUACGGGAGGCAGCAGUGGGGAAUAUUGCACAAUGGGCGAAAGCCUGAUGCAGCAACGCCGCGUGAGGGACGACGGCCUACGGGUUGUAAACAUCUUUUAGCAGGGAAGAAGCGAAAGUGACGGUACCUGCAGAAAAAGCGCCGGCUAACUACGUG